UGGGGAAUAUUGGACAAUGGGGGCAACCCUGAUCCAGCAAUGCCGCGUGUGUGAAGAAGGCCUGCGGGUUGUAAAGCACUUUAAGCGGGGAGGACGGGGGUUUCGGUUAAUACCCGGGAUCUUUGACGUUACCCGCAGAAUAAGCACCGGCUAACUUCGUGCCAGCAGCCGCGGUAAUACGAAGGGUGCAAGCGUUAAUCGGAAUUACUGGGCGUAAAGCGCGUGUAGGCGGUUGGUUAAGUCAGAUGUGAAAGCCCCGGGCUUAACCUGGGAAUGGCAUUUGAUACUGGCUGACUAGAAUGUGGUAGAGGGUGGCGGAAUUCCCGGUGUAGCGGUGAAAUGCGUAGAUAUCGGGAAGAACACCAAUGGCGAAGGCAGCCACCUGGGCCGACAUUGACGC
rnacentral:rRNA from 1 species